rnacentral:rRNA from 1 species
UAAAGCGAUUCAGCGGGUUACGAUUGACGGAGCGAAGCGACGUCAAAGCGUAUACAAAGUCGAGUCGGUUUAAGGAUACGUUCGUUGGGUAGGGGAGCGUUCUGUAAGCCCGUGAAGGUGGCCUGUGAGGGUUGCUGGAGGUAUCAGAAGUGCGAAUGCUGACAUAAGUAACGAUAAAGCGGGUGAAAAGCCCGCUCGCCGGAAGACCAAGGGUUCCUGUCCAACGUUAAUCGGGGCAGGGUGAGUCGACCCCUAAGGCGAGGCCGAAAGGCGUAGUCGAUGGGAAACGGGUUAAUAUUCCCGUACUUGGUGUUACUGCGAAGGGGGGACGGAGAAGGCUAUGUUGGCCGGGCGACGGUUGUCCCGGUUUAAGCGUGUAGGUGUGUGUUCCAGGUAAAUCCGGUUCACUUUAACACUGAGGCGUGAUGACGAGGCACUACGGUGCUGAAGCAACAAAUGCCCUGCUUCCAGGAAAAGCCUCUAAGCAUCAGGUAACAUCAAAUCGUACCCCAAACCGACACAGGUGGUCAGGUAGAGAAUACCAAGGCGCUUGAGAGAACUCGGGUGAAGGAACUAGGCAAAAUGGUGCCGUAACUUCGGGAGAAGGCACGCUGACACGUAGGUGAAGUGAUUUACUCACGGAGCUGAAGUCAGUCGAAGAUACCAGCUGGCUGCAACUGUUUAUUAAAAACACAGCACUGUGCAAACACGAAAGUGGACGUAUACGGUGUGACGCCUGCCCGGUGCCGGAAGGUUAAUUGAUGGGGUCAGCGCAAGCGAAGCUCCUGAUCGAAGCCCCGGUAAACGGCGGCCGUAACUAUAACGGUCCUAAGGUAGCGAAAUUCCUUGUCGGGUAAGUUCCGACCUGCACGAAUGGCGUAAUGAUGGCCAGGCUGUCUCCACCCGAGACUCAGUGAAAUUGAACUCGCUGUGAAGAUGCAGUGUACCCGCGGCAAGACGGAAAGACCCCGUGAACCUUUACUAUAGCUUGACACUGAACAUUGAGCCUUGAUGUGUAGGAUAGGUGGGAGGCUUUGAAGUGUGGACGCCAGUCUGCAUGGAGCCGACCUUGAAAUACCACCCUUUAAUGUUUGAUGUUCUAACGUGGACCCGUAAUCCGGGUUGCGGACAGUGUCUGGUGGGUAGUUUGACUGGGGCGGUCUCCUCCUAAAGAGUAACGGAGGAGCACGAAGGUUGGCUAAUCCUGGUCGGACAUCAGGAGGUUAGUGCAAUGGCAUAAGCCAGCUUGACUGCGAGCGUGACGGCGCGAGCAGGUGCGAAAGCAGGUCAUAGUGAUCCGGUGGUUCUGAAUGGAAGGGCCAUCGCUCAACGGAUAAAAGGUACUCCGGGGAUAACAGGCUGAUACCGCCCAAGAGUUCAUAUCGACGGCGGUGUUUGGCACCUCGAUGUCGGCUCAUCACAUCCUGGGGCUGAAGUAGGUCCCAAGGGUAUGGCUGUUCGCCAUUUAAAGUGGUACGCGAGCUGGGUUUAGAACGUCGUGAGACAGUUCGGUCCCUAUCUGCCGUGGGCGCUGGAGAACUGAGGGGGGCUGCUCCUAGUACGAGAGGACCGGAGUGGACGCAUCACUGGUGUUCGGGUUGUCAUGCCAAUGGCACUGCCCGGUAGCUAAAUGCGGAAGAGAUAAGUGCUGAAAGCAUCUAAGCACGAAACUUGCCCCGAGAUGAGUUCUCCCUGAGACUUAGA